rnacentral:rRNA from 1 species
GACGAACCGAGCGAACGUUGUUCGGAAUCACUGGGCUUAAAGGGCGCGUAGGCGGGUGUGUAAGUCUGCGGUGAAAUCCUCCAGCUUAACUGGAGAAGUGCUGUGGAUACUGCUCAUCUUGAGGAGGGUAGGGGCAUCUGGAACGGUCGGUGGAGCGGUGAAAUGCGUUGAUAUCGACCGGAACUCCGGUGGCGAAGGCGAGGUGCUGGACCCUUUCUGACGCUGAGGCGCGAAAGCCAGGGGAGCAAACGGG